UUAGAUGAGGGGUUGGGGAAUGUAGUGAGGAGGACUUAGCAGUGACAGGCCUGGUAGAGAGAGACAACUCUGGAGUUAUUCUUCAUGUGUGUGCCAGCACUCCUGUGUGCACACUCAAAGUCACAAAUGUAAUAAAUGGGAGCGCUGGCUUAGAGGAAGAUAGGGCUUUGCAUUUAAAACCGUGUUAACAUUCCUGAGUAGAUGGACCCAAUGCACUGGGUAGUACAUUAAGGAUUCUGCUUGUACAAAAAGGGAGUUAAUGCCAACAUAGUCUCUACAUGGGUGUGUUGCUUUAUUAUCUCAUUGUUGCAGGUCUAAUUGCCUCUGAUAUUUGUUCUUCAGCUUUGGAGCUUGAGAUGAACUGGUCCGACUUUCAGAAGAAAGCUCCUGGAAGCACCCCUAAUCUCCUCCGAAGAUGAUGGUGGGCACAGAAGAACCUCUUCCUGGGGCUCACUUCCACUGUGUCAAAGCCGGCCGCAGGGUUACAACUGCCUGACCUGGACUGCUGACAGUAUGCCAUCCAACCUGGGCAAGCAGGACACUGGGGAGUCAAUGGUCCCACUUUGCCUAGACAAGAUAGCACAGUCCUCCGAAGCCCCUGUUUCACAAGAAAGUCUGUCAGAUCUUCUGGGCCUGGCAGGCAAAGAUGCACAGCCCCAUGCACAGUUUAUGGAGCAUGGGGUGGAUGUCCGGACAGCCAUUAAGUCUGUCAGUUAUUAGAUCCUGAAGCUGUUCGAUCUGCUCUUCCCGUUUGCUCAGGUAAAACUCAUCCUCCUUAGGUCUCUGAUGGGUUUGAAGACUAGACUAGUGGUAGAGUUAAGUUCAGAGCUAACAAUCAGUGGAGUUCUGAUAGUUAUCAUAGCCACAGCUUGAGAGCUUAAAUAUGUCUUCUAAAUAUAAACUUAAAGGGGACUUCUCAUUGUGCUCAUUUGACACAAACACUCUGUAGAACUUUGGACUCCCCAAGACAGGACAAGUGGUCUGGACAUUGUAAAUAUAAUUCUUUUAUUUUGUCAUAUUCUUUACAAUUUAUAAAAUAUUGUAACAAUAAAAUGAGUAUUAUAAAAAUUGUCUCAUAUAAAACAACAA